AUCAUAGACUAAUACAUAGACCGCAAUGUCCGGUACAAAUCAUUUUAAAUUCGGGCACCAUGUCUUCUUCUUCAUUUUGAGAAAAAUACCCCUCGUGGUUGACGAAUUACAUUUAAUUUCACCAACGAAUUGACUGACCCCUCCCAACCUUUUGACAUUUUGUCUGUUUGUUUCGCUCUCACACUUUCGGGCCAACUGUCAAAUCCAAACUGCAACAACAAAAUCAUUUGAUUCUUCUCACAAGUCAAGACAAAAUUUUCAAAACCUAAAAUCUUAAUUCUUAAAUUCUUAAACUUAAAUCUUAUUGGUAAAUAAUUAAUGAUUAAUAAAAAAAACGAUAGCUUUCGGGAUAGUCUGGAUGGUUCAAUACAUUUCAUAGAUUUCAUAAGGUGAAAUUAAUUGUUUUGUGGUCAAUCACAAUGGCCGGUUGUUUAUGUCGUCUCAUCGGAUAAUAAAGUAAGUGGAGGACGAUUUCAUCAUUGCCAUUGGGUCCAACCGAACAUCCAGCAAACAACCGAAAGACUUCUCCAAAACCGGAAUCACAAACACUAAUGAUACUGUAUAGGAUGUGUAAAGCAAAAGUGGGUGAUAAUCCAGUUGCAGCAAAACUAUCUCAACCACUUUGAGAGGAAUACUGCGGAAUCAGCGGAAUCACGCACACUUUAUUCAUUUGGAGAAGUAAAUACUCAACCAAGAGCUGUUGAAAAUAAACAAUUUUUCGUACGAGAUGCCCGACAUCCCGGGAUUCGAAUAUGAAAAGACCAGAAUUGACGACGACGAUGAGUCUUCUGGUGAAAUUUAGGGAAUACGUUCUGCUACGACAGCAGCCGGAUAGUACAGUAGACAAUCGGCAGUCCUAGUUUCGAAAAGCGUGGCCUGUACAACAACCUCAGCAUAAUCGAGAUCAUUCUGCAUCUCAACAACAGUAUUCCCAGCACCGGACACCUCAUUCAUGUAUCAAUCGACUCGGGAGAGAAAACACGCUUCUCGUCAUCAAAACUUUCGGGAUCGAAUCGCCAUAUUUGGUACUCCUGGUCUGACAUAAACCCACACCUGAAUUCGUAUUAUUUCGAUGAGCAUAAGCUACACAGCAGCGGUAACAGAAACAUCAACUGCACAGACCGCGGUUGGAUCGUAACAUCUCCCCGCGGUUGGAUCGUAACAUCGCUCACAUCGCAACAUCAAGUGCCUGUCUAUCGCAAGUUUGACUUUUUAGAUACGAGGCGAACAUGAAGCACUUGUUAAAAACGGUGUCCAACGCCGUUGUGUUAGGAUGAUGCUGCUCUCGAUGCUGCCUUUCACUUCCAAUGACCUGCAAAGUCAGAGUCAGUCACAUCUUCUUUUUGAUGAACUAAUAGCAGCUGCCUUGGCAGCUGCCGUUGUCCACAAUCUGGAUGAAAAGACCACCAGCGAGUAAAACGUUAUGUUUAUCAUUCUUGGUGGCGGUACUAUUGAUGUGUCAAUCCUGUCAAUCGAUGAUAGCAUCUUCAAAGUCUGCAGCCGAUGACACUCAUCUUGGCGGUAAGGACUCUGACUACCGAUUGUCUUCACCGGCAGGGGUCAGCUUUGAAAAUGAAUUGUUCUUCGAGGGCACCAACUUCACCCAAUGAUUGCUGGAAGUCUCCGUAAUAAAGAUAAUAAAAAAUAAAUAAAAUAAAAUAAAUCUUAUUCAAUCAAUCUCAAUCUAUCAAUCAAACACACUCGAUAAAUCUCAAUCAUUCAAUCAAGCUCAGUCAAUUAAUUCCGAAAAUCAAUUAAUCUCAAUGAUUCAAUCAAGCUCAGACAAUCAAUCUAAAUCAAUAAAAAAAAAUUAAUCAUUCUCAAUCCAUCAAUCUCAUUCAUUAAAAUCAAUCAAUCAUAUUAAAAAAAACAAUCUCAACCAAUCAAUUAAUCUUGAGAUCAAUCUCAAUUAAUCCAUAAGUCAAUCAAUUUCAAAUAAUCAAUUAAUCUCGAUUAAUCAAUCUCAAUCAAGCAAUCAAACAAUCCUCACCAAUCAAUUAAUCUUAAUCAAUCAAUCGCAAUCCAUCAAUCAAACAAUCAAUCAAUCUCAAUCCAUCAAUCUCAAUCCAUCAAUCAUUCAACCAAGCUCAGUUAAUCAACUAAAUAAUCAAUCAAUCAAUCUUAAUAAAUAAAUUUAAAAGCAAUCCAUUAUUCUCAAUAAAUCAACCUCAAUUAAUCAAUCUCAAUCAAUGAAUCAACCAAUCAAUCUCAAUAAAACAAUAGCACUCAACUAAUCUAAAACACAUUAAUAAAGCUUAAAAAAAACUCAACUAAUCAAUCUUAAUCAAUCAAUCUCAAUAAAACAAUAGCACUCAACCAAUCAAUCUUAAUCAAUCUCAAUCGAUCAAAAAAUCAAUCUUAAUCGAUCAGCCAAUCAAUCAGUAUUAAUCAAUCUCAAUAGAUCAAUCAAUUAAUCUUAAUACACUGGAUUCUGUUUUUACACGAUUUACAUUUUCUCAAUUUUUCGCUCAGCCUAAAUGUUUAACGCAUAUUAAUCAUCAUGUGAUUUUUCUUUGAAUUAUUCUGGAUUUUUUUAAACAUGUUGCGAAGAUUUUGGAGGUAAAUUGAAGUCACACGAUCAAAAAUACGAGCGAAAAAAAAUCGCGUAAAAACAAAAUCCUGUGUAAUUCAAUCAAUCUAAAUCAAUGAAUCAAUCAAUCUCAAUCCAACAUUAUCACUCAAUCAACCAUAAUCAAUCUCAAUCGAUCAAUCAAUGAAUCUCAAUCAAUGAAUAAAACCAAUUAAUCAAUCUCACUCAAUUAGUCAAUCUCAAUUAUUCAAUCCAUCACAAUCAAUAAAUCAAUCAAUCAAUCUCAAUAAAACAAAUAAACCUCUGUCUCAAUCAAUCAACCUUAAUCAAUCAAUAAAUCAAUUUCAAUCAAUCAGUCAAUCAUUCAAUCAAGCUCAGUCAAUCAAUCAAUCAACUAAUCAAGCAUUUAAUAUUAAUAUAUCAGUUUCAAUCAAUAAAAUCAUUCAAUCAGUCAAUCUCAAUCAAUCAAUCAAGCAAAAGCAUUCAAUCAAUCUCAAUCAAAUAAUAUCACUAAAUCCAUCAA